GGCUUGAUAGCUCAGUAGGUAGAGCACUGCACUGGUAUCGUAAAGAUCAGGGAUUCGAAUCCUGUCCAAGCCU